GACGAACGCUGGCGGCAUGCCUAACACAUGCAAGUCGCGCGGGCAGUAAUGUCAGCGGCGGACGGGUGCGUAACGCGUAGGAACAUAUCUAGAGGUGGGGGACAACCCUGGGAAACUGGGGCUAAUACCGCAUAUGAGCUGAGGCUCAAAGCAGCGAUGCGCCUUCGGAGUGGCCUGCGUCCGAUUAGCUUGUUGGUGGGGUAAUGGCCUACCAAGGCGACGAUCAGUAGCUGGUCUGAGAGGACGAUCAGCCACACUGGGACUGAGACACGGCCCAGACUCCUACGGGAGCAGCAGUGGGGAAUAUUGGACAAUGGGCGCAAGCCUGAUCCAGCAAUGCCGCGUGUGUGAAGAAGGGUC
rnacentral:rRNA from 1 species